rnacentral:rRNA from 1 species
GCAUUCAGUUGCCAUCGGGUAAGUGCCGGGCACUCUGGAAGGACUGCCAUCGACAAGAUGGAGGAAGGUGGGGAUGACGUCAAGUCAUCAUGGCCCUUAUGUCCAGGGCGACACACGUGCUACAAUGGCCGGCACAACGGGAAGCGAGUUCGCGAGGACGAGCGGAUCCCUCAAAGCCGGUCGCAGUUCGGAUUGAAGUCUGCAACUCGACUUCAUGAAGCUGGAAUCGCUAGUAAUCGUGGAUCAGCCGAGCCGCGGUGAAUACGUUCCCGGGCCUU